rnacentral:ncRNA from 1 species
AGCAAGAAUUGCCACACCCGUCGAGAGGCGGGGCCGGAAAGCCACGGUUCUUAAAAAUAACAAGAAAGCCGGGUUGCUAGA